CAAGUCCACUGCGAUGAAGGUAUAGCGAACCGCAUCGGCCCCGAGCCGUGCGCUGGCGCCCGCGAGGACGUCGGCGAAGCGUCGGCAGGGGAGCGCAUAGGCCAGCCAUUGAGCCUCGAAAAUAUCUUUCCUCUGGGUGCUGACGCUGUCGACAAGGCGGAAAGCAACACGUUCGGGCGCGCGAUCGCGAGCGCCCGAACGACCCGGCGUGGUCGAAGACAC
rfam:Acidithiobacillus sp. GGI-221 contig_986, whole genome shotgun sequence.